rnacentral:lncRNA from 1 species
ACAUGGUGAGCUUGAUGCGUGUGGCCAUCAGAUCUGCCACCUCAAUUAAUGAGGGAGAUCUGAUGGCCCUCAUUUUUCCUAAUUAAUUGAUUUUCUGUUUUAAUAAUUUUAAUACCAUUUUCUUAUUAAAUUCAUUAUAAAUCCAAUUUUAAUCCAAAAAUUAUGAUACUUCCACCAAAAUUCCUUAAAUAAUUUCCUCUUCCCAUGUUUGAAUUAAA